ensembl:lncRNA
UUUCAUUAUUCAAAAUUAUUAUUUUUAUUAAAAAUCAUAGAGAUGAUAUCAGUGAGUGGUUUUCUUUGUCUUUUGUUUGAUUGACAUUAAUGGCAGACAGUAGUUAUUUGCAUUAGACCAAAUGCACAUAUCUAAUGUACUGACACGUUGUUUAUGUUCACUGAAGACAAACUGGCUUCACGUUAAUACUCAACAAGACUGCUCUUCUGUGUCCGGAGCGCGCGCACAGAACGCACCUGAAGGCUGAUUUAUACUCGACGCGUCCACAAGUUUGCUUGGGUGCGCGCGGAAAAUAUGACGUCAUCGCUGUGUUGCAGAAAUGUGGUCUGGCUGCAGACCGUGGGCGAGUGGAGCUCCACUCUCGAACAGGAAAUACGUCACCUCCACUUGAAUUAAUCAAGAUGGGGUCUCCGGGAGUUCUUCAAACUUUAACUCAGUUCAGAUGUAUUUCUUAUGAAUAGGUGUUAUCCAUCCUGAUUAUACCUCCACAAAUAGAGCACUUCUGUAGAGGCAGUUAAACUCUGGACACUGACUGGAACUUCUGAGCACCAUCACCUUGUCUGCUUUGGGACUGUCAUAGGUGAAUGAUGCAGUACUUUUCUGUGUUGAAUUUACAUAACGUCAGUACACAGACAUAGUUUUGUUCCAGUUUUGCUAUGCUCAUGUCUUCUUUGUGUCCCCAGCCCAGCAAUCAGAUGCAUCAGAACAACAAAGCACAACUGUGGUGGCCCAGGCACCUCCAGCAACAAGUAAAUUGCUUUAACAUUAAUGAUAAUGGAAAGUCAGUCAUGUAAUUAAACUUGACCCAUGUGAUGUAAUUGUUCAUGUUAGAGGUUUAACAACAUUGUCAGCCAGGAGCCAGGAGCAUUAAAAAAGAAGACUUCAGCACCGUUGUGUCAUAAACCAUAAAAUAUUAGUUUAUUAUUAUUACUAUUAUUAUUAUUAUUAUUAUUAUUUCUACUAGGUAAAAGUACCAAAGAUAAAAGUACAGAAAAUAUCAACAUUACGUACAAAGAGGUGACAUUACAUGCAAAGCACCCUUUAUACAUGUAUAUAACAAUUGAUAAUACAAAAUGAAAGCUUUAACAAACUAAAUUAAAAAUAACUGUUUUAAAAGUUUGUCCAGACCAAAAUGGCGCCCGCGUC